UACGAAGGGAGCUAGCGUUGUUCGGAAUCACUGGGCGUAAAGCGCACGUAGGCGGAUGUGUCAGUCAGGGGUGAAAUCCCGGAGCUCAACUUCGGAACUGCCUUUGAUACAGCACGUCUUGAGUCCGAUAGAGGUGGGUGGAAUUCCUAGUGUAGAGGUGAAAUUCGUAGAUAUUAGGAAGAACACCGGUGGCGAAGGCGGCGUCCUGGACCAACACUGACACUGAGGAGCGAAAGCCAGGGGAGCAAACGGG
rnacentral:rRNA from 1 species